rnacentral:rRNA from 1 species
CCUACGGGGGGCUGCAGUAAGGAAUAUUGGUCAAUGGACGAAAGUCUGAACCAGCCAUCCCGCGUGCAGGAUGAAAGCCCUAUGGGUUGUAAACUGCUUUUAGCAGAGAAGAAAAGCUUUCAUUAAUGAGAGUCUGACGGUAUCUGCAGAAUAAGCACCGGCUAACUCCGUACCAGCAGCCGCGGUAAUACGGAGGGUGCCGGCGUUAUCCGGAUUUACGGGUGCGUAGGCGUGCGUAUACGGCAGUGGUGAAAUCUUGUCGCUUAACGAUAAAAUUGCCAAGGAUACUGGUACUCUUGAAUUGGGUUGAGGUUAGCGGAAUGUGACAUGUAGCGGUGAAAUGCAUAGAUAUGUCAUGGAACACCAAUUGCGAAGGCAGCUAACUGGGCCUUGAUUGACGCUGAGGCACGAAAGCGUGGGUAGCGAACAGGAUUAGAUACCCUAGUAGUC